GCGCGUGUAGCUCAGCGGUAGAGCGCUCCCUUGACAUGGGAGAGGUUUCGUAGGUUCGAUCCCUGCCUCGCGCACCA
rnacentral:tRNA from 1 species